UUUCCCUCAGGAUAGCUGGCACUCGCUUGAGCGAGUCUCAUCUGGUAAAGCGAAUGAUUAGAGGCCUUGGGGCCGAAACGACCUCAACCUAUUCUCAAACUUUAAAUGGGUGAGAUCUCUGGCUUGCUUGAACGAUGAAGCCACGAGAGAUAUCUAUGAUAUAUGGAUCAGAGUGCCAAGUGGGCCAAUUUUGGUAAGCAGAACUGGCGCUGUGGGA
rnacentral:rRNA from 1 species